UAGUCAUAUGCUUGUCUCAAAGAUUAAGCCAUGCAUGUCUCAGUGUAAACUUUUAAACAGUGAAACUGCGAAUGGCUCAUUAAAACAGUCAUAAUUUAUGUGAAAAUCUUUCUACAUGGAUAACCGUGGGAAUUCUAGGGCUAAUACAUGCGUACCCCGCAAGGGAUGUGUUUAUUAGAUUUAAACCAUCACUGUAGCAAUACAGUUCUGUUGGAAUAAUAAUAACCGAUCGAAUCGCAUGCGUAAGCGGCGAUAAUUCAUUCGAGUUUCUGACCUA
rnacentral:rRNA from 1 species